rnacentral:rRNA from 1 species
ACUACGGGUGGCAGCAGUGAGGAAUAUUGGUCAAUGGCCGGGAGGCUGAACCAGCCAAGUCGCGUGAGGGAAGACGGCCCUACGGGUUGUAAACCUCUUUUGUCAGGGAGCAAGGUGCAGGUCGGGACCUUCUGUGAGAGUACCUGAAGAAAAAGCAUCGGCUAACUCCGUGCCAGCAGCCGCGGUAAUACGGAGGAUGCGAGCGUUAUCCGGAUUUAUUGGGGUUAAAGGGUGCGCAGGCGGAGGCACAAGUCAGCGGUAAAAUCGCGGGGCUCAAACCCGCUCCGCCGUUGAAACUGUGUCCGUUGAGUGCGCGAAGGGUAGGCGGAAUGCGUGGUGUAGCGGUGAAAUGCAUAGAUAUCACGCAGAACGCCGAUCGCGAAGGCAGCCUACCGGCGCGCAACUGACGCUCAUGCACGAAAGCGUGGGUAUCGAACAGGAUUAGAUACCCGGGUAGUC